rnacentral:rRNA from 1 species
UACGGGGGGGGCAAGCGUUGUUCGGAAUUACUGGGCGUAAAGGGCUCGUAGGUGGCCAACUAAGUCAGACGUGAAAUCCCUCGGCUCAACCGGGGAACUGCGUCCGAUACUGGUUGGCUUGAAUUCGGGAGAGGGAUGCGGAAUUCCAGGUGUAGCGGUGAAAUGCGUAGAUAUCUGGAGGAACACCGGUGGCGAAGGCGGCAUCCUGGACCGAGAUUGACGCUGAUGCGCGAAAGCCAGGGGAGCAAACGGG